AUAACCCAGUAGAGUAUACGAAAAUAGAAAAAUCGAAAAAUCGCCAUUGAACUGCAAACAAGUAAAAAAAGAUCAUCCCUUAAUAGAACUCCAAAAAUCUCCAUAGCCGCAAGCUGAAGGAAGGAGCCAAACAAGAAUUAUUAUCGGAGAACAAACAAAUGCCUUACAGAGCAGUCAUGGAGGUGGAGCCUCCGAGUCCGUUGAGAUACAUAAUAGGAGCCACGAUAAUGAUGAUAGGAGUAGUGUUACCUGUGGGUUACAUGAUGUUUCGUAACAAGCGUGUUCCUUCUUCUUCUUCUUACUCCAAACAGACGUAGGAACAAAGUUUUGAUAUAGAGGGAUAGGAACAAACGGCUCUUGGAUAUGAUUAAUGCCCAGUUGAGUUUGAAGAAAAUGCAAAAACAGGGUGGUAGCUCUCUUGACUGAUGUGAAAAUACAAAAUGUAAAUGUGCUGAAACUCCAAUUUUGUUAUAUUGUUUGUUUGGAAACUCUACAUUGAGCUUAUAAAGUGUAUGGUUUUACUUAGAACUGCACUUUUUGUUAUAUUUGUACUUGAGAAUUCUAGUUACAUGAUAUAUGCGGUUUGAUUCAA